rnacentral:misc_RNA from 1 species
AAACUGCGCGUCGGAAUGUGAACUGCAGGACAUAUGAGCAUCGACACUUUGAACGCAUAUUGCGGACUGUGGUUUGUCCACUGUCCAUGUCUGGCUCAGGGUCGGUUUGUCAUCCAUCCAGCUGAAUUGCUGGCAUUGGGCAUCUCCCUCUCUUCAUCGAGAGGGUGGCCUCAAGUUUGACUGUGCGAGCCUGCGUACGGAGUGCUGACUCUCGGGUUGUUUGCUCAGCCUGGGUUGGCGUUAAGCUCCUGCGUGGCUCGUGCUCGAGCCUUGAAAAAUUUAUUUUUCAUAGUUCUUUUAUUUCACGACCUGAGAGCAGGCAAGGUUACCCGCCAAAUUUAA